GAGGGUGUAGCUCAGUGGUAGAGCAUGUGCUUAGCAUGCACGAGGUCCUGGGUUCAGUCCCCAGUUCCUCCA
rnacentral:tRNA from 1 species